ensembl:lncRNA
CUGUUAAUGGGUUCAUAUUGGCUUGAUCUGUCUUCGCAAUAAAUGUACUGUGCUGUAUUAAUGUGUGAAUCCUGGGGGCAACAAGAUCAUAUUUGGGGCAGGCACCAAACUAACAGUAAAUUCAAAAAAACAAGAACCGCCUGCCUAUUACAAAUUUAAUAAGUCAUGUUUGGCAACCGACUUCACAAAAUAUGAUGAUGUAAAAUUCCAAGAUGUUACACCAGUGCGAUAUGCAGAACGAAGUUACUACAGCAGCUUCACCUUUAAUGCUUCAGAAUACUGCCCGCAGAAAGACUGUAAUCAAGGAUCAUCCAGUCAAAAUGCUGAUUUUGAAACGGGUAAGUGUGCUUUUAUUUGCACAUUAAUAGUCUGCUGUGCAUUUCAUUUCAUUUGCAGUCCAUUACUACUAGUCUGUUACUGCCUGUUGUUUGAACUGAAACAUCCAGCACUGUCAAACAUUAACUACACUCGCAUAGAUUUCAAAUUGUGAAACUACUAGCUUCGAAAAAAAAAAAAAAUUAAACACAUUUUAAAAAAAUACUUGAAAGUGCUGGAUUAUACCACAAAAUCCAUGGUAAAACCAAUAGACAUACUA